CUAGGAAAAAUCUAAUAAGAAGCCAAAACACAGUUAACAGAUAUAGGCUUUUUGUGUUUGUCUUAAUACCCUUAUUAUGAAAAUGGCUGGGAAGUUUGGGCUCUUUCUGAGAGUGUUUUUGAUUAGUUGCUUGCUAAUUGGAGGAAUAGCCUGUUCCCCUGCACCAACAGACAGUGGCAACAACUAUAUUCUUCAAGCGUCACCUAAAGCCACCAGCAUCUCAAGUGUGAUGACUGGUCCAAAUAACCCUGGUGUUACACCAGCUACUCCGCCUCAGCAGAAUAGCUCAGCUACAACCAGCUUUAAUUCCCCAUUAUUAUCAAAUGGCUCCCAUGACUCAACAGAAGUAGCAAGCAACCAUACUUCAGGAAUGGUGAUGCAGCAGCGGGAGCCAGUGGCGUCUGUCCCCCGGGCCUCUGCCGGGGCGGCGGCGGCGGGUCCCCGGGCCUCUGCCGGGGCGG